AGAGUUUGAUCCUGGCUCAGGACGAACGCUGGCGGCGUGCCUAACACAUGCAAGUCGAACGGAGUGUUGCGCUGAACGGAAGGUAGCUUGCUAUUGGAAGUUCUUGUAACACUUAGUGGCGGACGGGUGAGUAACACGUAAGCAAUCUGGCCCAUACAGGGGGAUAACAAUGAGAAAUCAUUGCUAAUACCGCAUAAGACCACAACACCGCAUGGUGAAGGGGUCAAAGGAGCAAUCCGGUAUGGGAUGAGCUUGCGUCCCAUUAGUUAGUUGGCGGGGUAACGGCCCACCAAGACGACGAUGGGUAGCCGGACUGAGAGGUUGAUCGGCCACACUGGGACUGAGACACGGCCCAGACUCCUACGGGAGGCAGCAGUGGGGAAUAUUGGGCAAUGGGGGAAACCCUGACCCAGCAACGCCGCGUGAAGGAAGAAGGUCUUCGGAUUGUAAACUUCUGUCUUUAGGGACGAAACAAAUGACGGUACCUAAAGAGGAAGCCCCGGCUAACUACGUGCCAGCAGCCGCGGUAAUACGUAGGGGGCGAGCGUUGUCCGGAAUUAUUGGGCGUAAAGGGCGCGUAGGCGGAGAUAUGUGUCAGUUGUGAAAACUAUAGGCUUAACUUGUAGGUUGCAGCUGAAACUGUAUCCCUUGAGUGCAGGAGAGGAAAGCGGAAUUCCCAGUGUAGCGGUGGAAUGCGUAGAUAUUGGGAGGAACACCAGUGGCGAAGGCGGCUUUCUGGCCUGUAACUGACGCUGAGGCGCGAGAGCGUGGGGAGCAACCAGGAUUAGAUACCCUGGUAGUCCACCCCGUAAACGAUGGAUACUAGGUGUAGGUGUCCAUAGGCAUCUGUGCCGGAGCAAACCCAAUAAGUAUCCCGCCUGGGGAGUACGGCCGCAAGGGUUGAAACUCAAAGGAAUUGACGGGGGCCCGCACAAGCAGCGGAGCAUGUGGUUUAAUUCGAAGCAACGCGAAGAACCUUACCAAGGCUUGACAU
rnacentral:rRNA from 1 species